UCCCAAGUGGCUCAGUGGUAAAGAAUCUGCCUGCGAAUGCAGGAGACACAGGUUUGAUUCCUGGGUUGGGAA
rnacentral:tRNA from 1 species